rnacentral:snoRNA from 1 species
CAGCACCUGAAUCUUUCCUAUUCCUUGCUGUGCAGUGCAGGUCUGGGGACAGUUGGUGCUACAGCACAGCAGCAGAAAUCCAGAUGGGUUACUUUCCACUCGCUUGGAACUCAUCUCUACAGCUCUGCAACAUUU